ACACUGCCAAGAAAAGCUUCUAGUGAGAAAGUAACUGCCCGUACCGCAAACCGACACAGGUAGUUGAGGAGAGAAUCCUAAGGUGUGCGAGAGAACUCUCGUUAAGGAACUCGGCAAAAUGACCCCGUAACUUCGGGAGAAGGGGUGCUGACCGCAAGGUCAGCCGCAGUGAAUAGGCCCAAGCGACUGUUUAUCAAAAACACAGGUCUCUGCAAAAUCGAAAGAUGACGUAUAGGGGCUGACGCCUGCCCGGUGCUGGAAGGUUAAGAGGAGAGGUUAGCGCAAGCGAAGCUUUGAAUUGAAGCCCCAGUAAACGGCGGCCGUAACGAUAAUGGUCCUAAGGUAGCGAAAUUCCUUGUCGGGUAAGUUCCGACCCGCACGAAAGGCGUAACGAUUUGGGCACUGUCUCAACGAGAGACUCGGUGAAAUUAUAGUACCAGUGAAGAUGCUGGUUACCCGCGACAGGACGGAAAGACCCCAUGGAGCUUUACUGCAGUUUGAUAUUGCGUGUUUGUAUCACAUGUACAGGAUAGGUAGGAGCCGAAGAUACCGGGACGCCAGUCUCGGAGGAGGCAACGGUGGGGUACUACCCUUGUGAUAUGACCACUCUAACCCGCUGCUCUUAGCGAGCAGGGAGACAGUGUCAGACGGGCAGUUUGACUGGGGCGGUCGCCUCCAAAAAUGUAACGGAGGCGCCCAAAGGUUCCCUCAGAAUGGUUGGAAAUCAUUCGUAGAGUGUAAAGGCAGAAGGGAGCUUGACUGCGAGACCUACAAGUCGAGCAGGGACGAAAGUCGGGCUUAGUGAUCCGGUGGUUCCGCAUGGAAGGGCCAUCGCUCAACGGAUAAAAGCUACCCUGGGGAUAACAGGCUUAUCUCCCCCAAGAGUUCACAUCGACGGGGAGGUUUGGCACCUCGAUGUCGGCUCAUCGCAUCCUGGGGCUGUAGUCGGUCCCAAGGGUUGGGCUGUUCGCCCAUUAAAGCGGUACGCGAGCUGGGUUCAGAACGCCGUGAGACAGUUCGGUCCCUAUCCGUCGCGGGCGUUGGAAAUUUGAGAGGAGCUGUCCUUAGUACGAGAGGACCGGGAUGGACACACCGCUGGUGUACCAGUUGUUCUGCCAAGAGCAUCGCUGGGUAGCUAUGUGUGGACGGGAUAAACGCUGAAAGCAUCUAAGCGUGAAGCCCCCCUCAAGAUGAGAUUUCCCAUCACUUUAAGUGAGUAAGACCCCUGAGAGAUGAUCAGGUAGAUAGGUUGGGAGUGGAAGUACAGCGAUGUAUGGAGCGGACCAAUACUAAUCGGUCGAGGACUUAACCU
rnacentral:rRNA from 1 species